rnacentral:rRNA from 1 species
AGAGUUUGAUUAUGGCUCAGGAUGAACGUUGGCGGCGUGCUUAACACAUGCAAGUCGAACGAGGUCCAACCUUCGGGUGAAGACCGAGUGGCGAUCGGGUGAGUAACACGUGGGGAACCUGCCCUUCUCUCUGGGAUAACCUCGGGAAACCGAAGCUAAUACCGGAUACUCCUUGCGGACCGCAUGGUCUGCUCGGGAAAGCUCCGGCGGAGAAGGAUGGCCCCGCGGCCCAUUAGCUUGUUGGUGGGGUAACGGCCCACCAAGGCGACGAUGGGUAGCCGAGCUGAGAGGCUGAUCGGCCACACUGGGACUGAGACACGGCCCAGACUCCUACGGGAGGCAGCAGUGGGGAAUCUUGCGCAAUGGGCGAAAGCCUGACGCAGCAACGCCGCGUGCGGGAUGAAGGCUCUCGGGUCGUAAACCGCUUUCAGCAGGGAUGAAAAUGACAGUACCUGCAGAAGAAGCCCCGGCUAAAUACGUGCCAGCAGCCGCGGUAAUACGUAUGGGGCAAGCGUUAUCCGGAUUCAUUGGGCGUAAAGCGCGCGUAGGCGGCUUGUUAAGUCAGGCGUGAAAUCCGGGGGCUCAACCCGCGGCUUGCGUCUGAAACUGGCAGGCUUGAGUCUGGUAGAGGAAAGUGGAAUUCCUGGUGUAGCGGUGAAAUGCGCAGAUAUCAGGAGGAACACCAGUGGCGAAGGCGGCUUUCUGGGCCACGACUGACGCUGAGGCGCGAAAGCUAGGGGAGCGAACAGGAUUAGAUACCCUGGUAGUC